ACCCUCUAUUGCCUUUCCCAUCGGAUCUGAACACUGGUCUUGGUGCUCUCAAAGGAGGACUAGUAAUACUGCAUCUGGCCUCACAGGACUCAAAGUCUGCCAUGGAGCACACCGGCUAGUUCAAAUAAGG